AUUCCAGCUCCAAUAGCGUAUAUUAAAGUUGUUGCGGUUAAAAAGCUCGUAGUUGGAUUUCUGUUGAGGGCAGCCGGUCCGCUCUAUGAGCGUGUAUCUGGAUUGACCUCGGCACCCUCUCGAAAAACGUUUCUGCGCUUGAUUGCGUGGGGCGGAGUUCGGGACUUUUACUUUGAGGAAAUUAGAGUGUUCACGGCAGGCGAUCGCCUUGAAUAUAUUAGCAUGGAAUAAUAACAUAGGAUCUUGGUUCUAUUUUGUUGGUUUCUAGGACUAAGAUAAUGAUUAAUAGGGACAAUUGGGGGCAUUCGUAUUAACACGUCAGAGGUGGAAUUCUUGGAUUGUGUUACGACGAACUACUGCGAAAGCAUUUGCCAAGGAUGUUUUCAUCA
rnacentral:rRNA from 1 species